rnacentral:lncRNA from 1 species
GCAAGGUAAGCUCCAAACCUUCAUUUUUCUUUUUUGUUUUUCUCGUUCUUCUUAUUUCUAUCGUUUUUCUACCAGCUAAAAGCACAAGGUGGCUUCGGUGGGGCUUGCGCCCCUGAAGGCCGUGAAGAGGGGGGCACUUUUGACCCCUAGGUCGGCAAGACUUAGGUUGCCGCCCCUUUGAGCCGCGAAGAGGGAGGGCGCCCUCACGAAGAAAGGGGGC